rnacentral:rRNA from 1 species
UACGUAGGGGGCAAGCGUUAUCCGGAUUUACUGGGUGUAAAGGGGGCGCAGACGGCGAUGCAAGCCAGGAGUGAAAGCCCGGGGCCCAACCCCGGGACUGCUCUUGGAACUGCGUGGCUGGAGUGCAGGAGGGGCAGGCGGAAUUCCUGGUGUAGCGGUGAGAUGCGUAGAUAUCAGGAGGAACACCGGUGGCGAAGGCGGCCUGCUGGACUGCAACUGACGUUGAGGCCCGAAAGCGUGGGGAGCAAACAGG